rnacentral:misc_RNA from 1 species
AACGCACAUUGCGCCUUUUGGUAUUCCGAAAGGCAUGCCUGUUUGAGUGUCAUAUAGACUCAUCUAAUCGGGUUUCCGAUCUAGAUGCUUUGGACGUUGCCGAUCUAGGCUCGUCUUAAAUGACUAAGUGGAAUGCGUAAUAAGUUUUCGCUCCCUCCACUCUAAUAUCUUUUAUCUCUGACCUCAAAUCAGGUAGGACUACCCGCUGAACUUAA